CGUGUACUAGUGGGGUCCCUCGGCCUGGCCUGCACCCUCUUGCAAUCCAGGACCCCUCAGGGGAUGUCAGAGAGCCAGUUUCAGCCUGAUCCUGCAGGCCAGGCCGAGGGACCCUACUGGUGCAUG
rnacentral:pre_miRNA from 1 species